rnacentral:rRNA from 1 species
GAUGAACGCUAGCGGGAGGCCUAACACAUGCAAGCCGAGCGGUAUUUGUUCUUCGGAACAGAGAGAGCGGCGCACGGGUGCGGAACACGUGUGCAACCUGCCUUUAUCUGGGGGAUAGCCUUUCGAAAGGAAGAUUAAUACCCCAUAAUAUAUUGAGUGGCAUCAUUUGAUAUUGAAAACUCCGGUGGAUAGAGAUGGGCACGCGCAAGAUUAGAUAGUUGGUGAGGUAACGGCUCACCAAGUCAAUGAUCUUUAGGGGGCCUGAGAGGGUGAUCCCCCACACUGGUACUGAGACACGGACCAGACUCCUACGGGAGGCAGCAGUGAGGAAUAUUGGACAAUGGGUUGGCGCCUGAUCCAGCCAUCCCGCGUGAAGGACGACGGCCCUAUGGGUUGUAAACUUCUUUUGUAUAGGGAUAAACCUACUCUCGUGAGAGUAGCUGAAGGUACUAUACGAAUAAGCACCGGCUAACUCCGUG